GACGAACGCUGGCGGCAGGCCUAACACAUGCAAGUCGAACGAGAGGCGGAUGGGUGAGUAAUGUCUGGGAAACUGCCUGAUGGAGGGGGAUAACUACUGGAAACGGUAGCUAAUACCGCAUACCAUCGGAUGUGCCAAGAUGGGAUUAGCUAGUCGGUGGGGUAAAGGCUCACCUAGGCGACGAUCCCUAGCUGGUCUGAGAGGAUGACCAGCCACACGGGUACUGAGACACGGUCCAGACUCCUACGGGAGGCAGCAGUGGGGAAUAUUGCACAAUGGGCGCAAGCCUGAUGCAGCCGUGCCGCGUGUAUGAAGAAGGCCUUCGGGUUGUAAAGUACUUUUAGCAGGGAGGCGUUACCCGCAGAAUAAGCACCGGCUAACUCCGUGCCAGCAGCCGCGGUAAUAC
rnacentral:rRNA from 1 species